rnacentral:lncRNA from 7 species
GGGGCGAGGAAAAGGCCGGCUUUUAGCAGAGAUCUGAAGAUGAUCUUCAACAGGAGGAGGCUCGGGCGCAAGGUGAAAACUUCUUUCUGCACUAAUGGGGCAGAUAAGCCUCGUCUCUGCCAGUACCUUACCAACACCCAUAUACUGAAGAGAAGAUACCACGGAGCGCUUUGCCCUGGGAUAGAACUUGCUCCAAAUAAGAGGCAUGUGCUACAACAGAGCAGGUUUCUCCCGAGCAUUGCCAGGAGAGGGCAGCAGUGGAAAGCUUUGUGUUUCAGCGUUUCUCCUUCCCCAGAGGGAUGCCACCACCUGCUCCCUGGAAGUGAGAGGAAUACUAAAGGAAAAACAGUUUUAUUCUGCCUUUACACAGCUACAGGACAGUGUACAAAUGGAUCCGCGGUUUAUUUUUCUUCAAGUCUUGCCCGAGUUCAGCCCAACGAAUGACUCCUGUGGCAUACACCGUCACUCCCACAGGCCUUUCGGUUCAUUGGCCUGGCAGCCCACAGCCGGAUCCCUCUCACGUGCCCACAGCCUCAGCUGGUGCCUGGUUACACACGUGCCGUAUGAAGAGGCACUCGGGGACAGAUGUCACAUGAGAAGCAUGCAUGGUGAGAAAGAAGCCUUGGUUGCAGCCCUGAAGGGCCUCUUGUAAGCGUGUGACCUGCCCAGCCCUGAAGGGCCUCUUGUAAGCGUGUGACCUGUGCCAGCUGAAGGCUUGGAAACCAUUACGGUCUGGACCUGAGCAUUUAUCAGACAAAAAGGACUCCAGAACAGGCACGUGGGACUCAUCUUUGUAAUGUAACACCAUCCAUUCGUAUGAGUAAAGCUAAAGGAAAACUCUUGGCAUAUCCAAUUCUGGGAGAUGGAAAGUCUGCCUGUUUCAAUGUGGCUUUUGGGGUUUGGCUAGAAGGGCUUUGGGAUGUUGAGGUGAUCCUAUUGCAAAUAGAACUCUUGGAGAAAAGGCUUUUGCAGUCUUCACAGGAGGGCUCACCCUUUCUUUUCCAUAAGGCUGUUCUUUGGCAGAUGCCGUCAGCGCAGAGUAUUCUACUCUUGGCACUGUUACCUGGAUGAUUUUAGCUGUCAGUUCAGCUUUGCAUACAGCUGGAUCUUGAGCCAGCAACCGACCCAUCGAGCUCUGUCAGAGACUUGAAUGUGGAAAAGAGCCGAGAAGGCCGGGUGUGGCACGCUUCAUGCUUUGUUGCACUCCUGCUCUAUUCCUCCAUCUGCACCAGGCAUGCUGCAAGGUGCUGCAGAACGGCGCUGGAGAAUAUUUCUCGGACUUGCACGAAAUAAAUAUUUGAAG